rnacentral:lncRNA from 1 species
CAAAAUUACUUCAGACAUCUUACUUUAAAAAAAAAUAAAAUUCUUCAAGACAAAACUCAAACAAUAUAAAACAGUGUAUAUUAAUGAGAAACUUAACAGCUUUCAGAAAAUUUGAGCAAUAUCACAUGAUAUAUAACAACAAUCAUAACAUUGGGACAUUAUGUACCUGAAAAGAAAACCAUACCAACUAUUAGAUUUUAAAAAUGGAACACCAC